rnacentral:rRNA from 1 species
UACGAAGGUGGCUAGCGUUGUUCGGAAUCACUGGGCUUAAAGCGCACGCAGGCGGCUCUGCAAGUGUCUUGUGAAAUCCCUCGGCUCAACCGAGGAAUGGCUGGGCAAACUGCAGGGCUUGAGGCGAGUAGGGGUGCAUGGAACUCUUGGUGGAGCGGUGAAAUGCGUAGAUAUCAAGAGGAACGCCGGAGGCGAAAGCGGUGCACUGGACUUGUCCUGACGCUGAGGUGCGAAAGCUAGGGGAGCGAACGGGAUUAGAUACCCUGGUA